GCCAGCUGUGGUAGUCCCAGCUACUUGGGAGGCUGAGGUGGGAGGGUCGCUUGAGCCCAGGAGUUCUGAGCUGUAGUGAGCUAUGCCAAUUGGUCGGCACUAAGUUAGCAUCGGCACUAAGUUCAGCAUCAAUAUGGUGACCUCCUGGGAGCAGGGGACCACCAGGUUGCCUGAGGAGGGCUGAACCGGCCCAGGCUGGAAAUGGAGCAGGUCAAAACUUCCAUGCUGAUCAGUAGUGGGAUUUCUCCUGUGAAUAGCCACUGCACUCCAGCCUGGGCAACAUAGCGAGAUCCCGUCUCU
rnacentral:SRP_RNA from 1 species